CUCAUAGCUCACAUGAUGGCUUUCUCUCAUGCCUUCCCACACAGUGUACAAUCGCGGGAUUGUGGCAUCACUGAAGAUCUGAAACCGGCGGGGUAGGACGUCAACAACAGCCAACAAAUUACUAGAAAUUCAGACAAUUUGUAAAAUGAAGUUUUUCAGGUUCCUGGCCACAUAUAUUCUCAUGUAUUUUCGAAUGGACUUUCUCUGACUGUUGACCGCGGAAAUCCCUGAACGAGGUUAUCAGAAAGCUGCGAUAAGAGAGGAAAACGGAGAAGAAGAGAAGCAGCCCGACGCGGUGUGAAGGAAUGGAAUAAACCCCAGAGCAGAACCAGAGGAAGGAGGGAUGACUGCCGUGAGAUGAAAGAGGGAUAGAGCAGGUCACAGAACAACUCGAGAGACCAUUCAGCUGUGAAGAGACAGAAGAAGCCAGAAGAUCACACAAACACACCCAAAGGUGAGAUGCAGCUAUGCCAGAGGACGAGACCAAGAGUAAGCAGAGAAGAUGUCUGCAUUAAUAUCCAAGCGUUCAGUCUCGCUACAUACAUUUCAAGUGGAUGCAGUACCCAACUCUCACCUCUGGGGGUCACUACUGUCCCGCCUUGAUAUCAGGAGGCCUGAGCUGCCUUUCCCCUCGGCCAGGAUCUGCACGGCCCUGUAGAGCAGGUGUACCUCCAGCCCCCCUUCCUCUUCACCUGCCACAUGGUCAUCACCCUGUACUUUCCUUUCACUUCUGGCCUCGCACGUGUAUGCCUCCGCCUCCACGGGGAUGGCGUUCUGGAAGCAGUGUAAAGAGAUGACGCCCUCCUCGGCCUUCCACUCCUGGAAGAUGUACUGCACCUUGGAGCACAGUCUCUGUCGCAAAAUGGUGGGAAAGACAUGGACAUACACUUGCUAUUGUAAUAUAUUUUAUUUGCACAUUCAUAGUCAUUGUCCUUUGCAAUACAAUACAAUAAUACAACUUAAUUUGUCAACUUAAGGCAAUGAGUGUAAGGGCUGCAGUGGUUUAUCAUAUAAACACACAGACAGAAGAAAUUAUGUAAACAUAAAUAACAACAGUGUUGUCACAGUGUGAUUAGGUUAUUUGACUGUCAAUUGAGUAAAGACAGUAAAAAACUAUUAAUCCAACCUCAAACGUCUUAUCCCGAAUACAGUGGUGAUUUUGGCAUGUAAAUCUUGGUGGGGCAAAAAAUAUACUGUCACGUCCUGACCAGUAUAGGGGUUAUUGGUUAUGGUAGUUUGGUCAGGACGUGGCAGAGGGUAUUUGUUUUAUAUGGUUCGGGGGUUAUGUGUAUGUCGAG